UAACAAAAAUAAACAGAAUAAUUCAAUUUGGACGUUACGAGUUGUCCGUUACGAAUUUGUAUAGUUACGAACUGUCGCCGUUACGAACUGUCGCUGUUACGAAUUGUCCGGUUACGAACUGUCGCGUUACGAGAUGUCAUGGAACCGAUGUUAAUAUGUCAGAAAGGAAUAUUUGGGCUACAAUGGAAUAAAUAAAGGCUCCGUUGCUCAGAAUCGGUUCAUAUGUGGGGGUGUUUCUUUACAUUUUCUUAGUACAGUUCACCAAGUAUAGCUGAAAGUGUGAAAUUCUCAUUGCCUGCGCUAACAAUGAAGUGAGAACGCACAUACAAACGGUCUGGACCGUCAGUGCGAGUGCGAGGUCCGUCGUUUGACGAAUGCGCAUCAUGACACAAGAAUCUACAGGUCGAGCAAGUCUCGUAAAUUUCACGAUUGCGAGCCACGCUUCACGCAACCGUGUUUGCGUACUUGUGUUUCGAGUUGCGUGGUCGUGCGGAGCUAUAUUUACCAAAUUAAUCGUUUCUACUGAUUCAUAAUAAUUAAAUCAAUAUGUCAAUAUGGCUACUGGGUGUAAAAGAUAAAUUUAUUCUAUCUGUUCUUAAUGAGUUUUAGAUAAUUUUAGUUGUAUUUCUUUGUAAUUUUGUGUUGUACAAAGAUUAAUUUAACAUUUUCUCUGGAAGUAUUAAUUUAGAAAGAUAAUAUUAUGCUUCAUUCAUUGGUGUUGUGUUUUGAAGUGUGAAAUGCAAAGUAUGUAAUUGUGAUAAAGUCAAGAUAAAGUUCACUUUUAAACUGAACUAAAGAAGGUAUCUGAGAGACAACAAUGGUUAAAUGCAAUACAAUGUACAGGUUUUGCUAGCGAAAUGAAAAUUUUCCUGUCCUGUCUGCUGUAAUCAUUUUAUAUCUGGAAAACCAGCCGACUUAAUCGAUAAUAUCAAUCUCCAGAUUGGGUUCCUUCAAUAAAUAUGGGCUAUAAACACAAUGAAAUAAGUUCCCCAAAAUCUAAAAUGGAGUGGUAUCAAAGGAGAAUUAAAGGGAAAAAUAUUCAUAUUGAAAUUAUUUAUAAGGCACUGGACUGUCUUAAAUUCUACAAUAAUACUAGAAUCAGCUGAGAGAAGUGGUCUACAAAAAACCAGGAAGGAAACGGAAUAUGUGGCUACGAAAGGCAAAAGAAAGGUUUACAAAGCAAAUGUGACACAUUUUUUUGAAAUAUUUAGGAAUAUCAGUAAAUUGCAUUAAAAAAAUGUAUGAAAAGAUUUUGUUCAAUAAAAAUGUUUAUAAGUA